rnacentral:lncRNA from 1 species
GUUGGUUGUUAGACUAGUUUGAGUCGGUUACUGGACUUUGACUUUCGAGAGCCUGAUUGAGCUCGACAGAGAUACGCUGCAUACUCGGUUGGGUAGCUCCCACGAGUGCCACUCCGAAGACGGGCGCUGUGCUUUCGCGUUGGUGUCGCUCAUGCCGGUUGGACUUGCUCUCCACGGACUAGUAGUGUGGAGGUAGCUGGACAGUCACAACUGGGCAGGGACGGGUGUGUUCACAGUCCCAGGGACGGGUAUGCUUACAGUCCCGAUUGGAUUGGGUCGGAUUUGACAUUU